rnacentral:rRNA from 1 species
ACGAACGCUGGCGGCGUGCUUAACACAUGCAAGUCGAACGGAAAGGCCCUGCUUUUGUGGGGUGCUCGAGUGGCGAACGGGUGAGUAACACGUGAGUAACCUGCCCUUGACUUUGGGAUAACUUCAGGAAACUGGGGCUAAUACCGGAUAGGAGCUCCUGCUGCAUGGUGGGGGUUGGAAAGUUUCGGCGGUUGGGGAUGGACUCGCGGCUUAUCAGCUUGUUGGUGGGGUAGUGGCUUACCAAGGCUUUGACGGGUAGCCGACCUGAGAGGGUGACCGGCCACAUUGGGACUGAGAUACGGCCCAGACUCCUACGGGAGGCAGCAGUGGGGAAUAUUGCACAAUGGGCGGAAGCCUGAUGCAGCAACGCCGCGUGCGGGAUGACGGCCUUCGGGUUGUAAACCGCUUUCGCCUGUGACGAAGCGUGAGUGACGGUAAUGGGUAAAGAAGCACCGGCUAACUACGUG